rnacentral:rRNA from 1 species
AGUGAACGCUGGCGGUAGGCCUAACACAUGCAAGUCGAACGGCAGCACAGUAAGAGCUUGCUCUUACGGGUGGCGAGUGGCGGACGGGUGAGGAAUACAUCGGAAUCUACUUUUUCGUGGGGGAUAACGUAGGGAAACUUACGCUAAUACCGCAUACGACCUACGGGUGAAAGCAGGGGAUCUUCGGACCUUGCGCGAUUGGAUGAGCCGAUGUCGGAUUAGCUAGUUGGCGGGGUAAAGGCCGACCAAGGCGACGAUCCGAAGCUGGUCUGAGAGGAUGAUCAGCCACACUGGAACUGAGACACGGUCCAGACUCCUACGGGAGGCAGCAGUGGGGAAUAUUGGACAAUGGGCGCAAGCCUGAUCCAGCCAUACCGCGUGGGUGAAGAAGGCCUUCGGGUGGUAAAGCCCUUUUGUUGGGAAAGAAAAGCAGCAGGUUAAUACCCCGCUGUUCUGACGGUACCCAAAGAAUAAGCACCGGCUAACUUCGUG